rfam:Triticum aestivum genome assembly, contig: Triticum_aestivum_CS42_TGACv1_scaffold_289965_4AL
UUUAUACUCCCUCCGUCCGAAAAAACUUGUCAUCAAAAUAGACAAAAAGAAAGGUAUCUAGAACUAAAAUACAUCUAGAUACAUUCCCUUUUAUUUAUUUUGAUGACAAGUAUUUUCGGACGGAGGGAGUACUUG